rnacentral:lncRNA from 1 species
ACUGCCCACGGCCUGGAUCACGGGCGUCCGCGGCCACUGCACGGCCAGGCCCACAGGCGCAGGGCGCAGGGGAGGGGCGACCUGGGUCACCAGCCCCGGAUUCCUCCGCACACCUCCGCGGCGGGGAGCGCGUCCCGGGGCGUCGCGGGCUCCGCGUUCCCGAGCAGCGCCCCGACGUCCGGCUCCCCGCCCCGCCUCCUGCCCGCAGGGCCGCCCGGGAAGUGGGGGAACGAGCCCGGGGCUUGGGGGCAGGGACCCGAGGUCAGGGGGAGGCGCCGGCAGGCCCGCGGGUCGCAGCGGGAGCCAGAGGCCCCGCCCCGCUCCGGCCCCGGCCCCGCCCCUUCCGCUCCCGGGCCUCGGCCCCGCCCCCACGUCGCCACGCCCCCCUCCGCCGCCCCCUGGUCUCGCGAUGCCUGCGCCUUCUCGCGACGCCAGCCGGGAGGCGGGCCGGGCCCUGACUGGCGCUGCCGGGGGCGGCUCCGCGGGGCGGGGCGGGCGAGCAGUCCUCGCGGAUCAUGGCUGCCCUGCGCGUCCUGCUGCCCCUCGUCCGCGGCCCGCUGCGCCCCCAGCCCCGCUGCGCCGCCCUGCGCCGCUUCGCCUCCGGUGAGCGGGGGGCUGAGGCCGCUGGGGGCUGACGCCGCCGCCGCGCCCCCGCCCCGGACCCCACCCCUCCGCCGGCCGGACCCCCGACCUCGCCCCUCCUCCACCGCGACCCCCCGACCUCAUCCCUCCUCCACCGCGACCCCGACCUCGCCCUCCUCCACCGCGACCCCCCGACCUCGCCCCUCCUCCACCGCGACCCCCGACCUCGCCCCUCCUCCGGCCAGACCCCCGACCUCACCCCUCCUCCACCCCGACCCCCCGACCUCACCCCUCCUCCUGCCGGACCCCGACCUCGCCCCUCCUCCACCGCGACCCCCGACCUCAUCCCUCCUCCACCGCGACCCCCCCCCCCCCCCCCCCCCCCCCCUCGCCCCUCCUCCACCGCGACCCCCCCCCCCCUCCCCGCCCCCCGACCCCCCCCCCCCCCCCCCCCGACCCACCCCCCUCCGCCGACCCCCGACCUCGCCCCUCCUCCACCGCGACCCCCCGACCUCAUCCCUCCUCCACCGCGACCCCCGACCUCGCCCCCUCCACCGCGACCCCCCGACCUCGCCCCUCCUCCACCGCGACCCCCGACCUCGCCCCUCCUCCGGCCAGACCCCCGACCUCACCCCUCCUCCACCCCGACCCCCCGACCUCACCCCUCCUCCUGCCGGACCCCCGACCUCACCCCUCCUCCACCCCGACCCCCCGACCUCACCCCUCCUCCUGCCGGACCCCCGACCUCGCCCUCCUCCACCCCGACCCCGACCUCACCCCUCCUCCUGCCGACCCCGACCUCGCCCCUCCUCCACCGACCCCGACCUCCCCUCCUCCACCCCGACCCCCCGACCUCGCCCCUCCUCCACCCCGACCCCCGACCUCACCCCUCCUCCGGCCAGACCCCCGACCUCACCCCUCCUCCACCCCGACCCCCCGACCUCACCCCUCCUCCUGCCGGACCCCCGACCUCACCCCUCCUCCACCCCGACCCCCCGACCUCACCCCUCCUCCUGCCGGACCCCCCGACCUCACCCCUCCUCCACCCCGACCCCCGACCUCACCCUCCUCCUGCCGGACCCCCGACCUCACCCCUCCUCCACCCCAACCCCCCGACCUCACCCCUCCUCCUGCCGGACCCCCGACCUCACCCCUCCGACCCCCCGACCUCACCCCUCCUCCGGCCAGACCCCCCGACCUCACCCCUCCUCCACCCCAACCCCUGGACCUCGCCCUCCUCCACUCUGA